CACCGCGGUUAUACGAGAGACCCAAGUUGUUAGACACCGGCGUAAAGAGUGGUUAGGUUUAAACUAUAAACUAAAGCCGAACAUCUUCAAAGCUGUUAUACGCACCCGAAGAUAAGAAGUUCAAUCACGAAAGUGGCUUUACCCCAACUGAACCCACGAAAGCUAGGAUA
rnacentral:rRNA from 1 species